AAGGCCAUGGCAUUUUGAUUCAUAAUCACAUUAUUGACAUGUUCUGUCAUAUGAAAGCUUUAGACUCUUGCCUUUAUAUUUAGUGUUCUGAAAAUUCAAAACACCCAAUUACUAAAAAAGGAAAAACAAAACCACACCUGGAAUUGUGUCAAUGUUGCAGAUAGCAUUUGGCACAAAUAAUGCAUGAAGAUUCAGGACCAGAAGAUAAAAUUGUGAGGGAAACUGGGAAGAGAUAAAUAAUAUGUAUUACAGAGGAUAAUUUACUGAAAAAUGGAUAAAGAAAAGAAAUGAUAUGGUCCUUGAGAAGUUGUGAACAAAAGGAAGCACAACCUUUGGAUAUAUAUGGUGGAAAAUUUAGAAUCACUGUAUUGAAGAAGUUUCAAAUACUGUUUCUACAAAUGUCAUCCUCGAAGUAAAUAGUUUGCUAAACCUCAACAGAAUCCAAUAUUCAACAUAAAAUAAGUAUCAACUGGGCAGUAGAUUACAUGUGAACAUGUAAAAGUUA